GAUGAACGCUGGCGGCGUGCCUAAUACAUGCAAGUCGAGCGAACAGAUGAGGAGCUUGCUCCUCUGACGUUAGCGGCGGACGAGUGAGUAACACGUGGAUAACCUACCUAUAAGACUGGGAUAACUUCGGGAAACCGGAGCUAAUACCGGAUAAUAUAUUGAACCGCAUGGUUCAAUAGUGAAAGACGGUUUUGCUGUCACUUAUAGAUGGAUCCGCGCCGCAUUAGCUAGUUGGUAAGGUAACGGCUUACCAAGGCAACGAUGCGUAGCCGACCUGAGAGGGCGAUCGGCCACACUGGAACUGAGACACGGUCCAGACUCCUACGGGAGGCAGCAGUAGGGAAUCUUCCGCAAUGGGCGAAAGCCUGACGGAGCAACGCCGCGUGAGUGAUGAAGGUCUUCGGAUCGUAAAACUCUGUUAUUAGGGAAGAACAAAUGUGUAAGUAACUAUGCACGUCUUGACGGUACCUAAUCAGAAAGCCACGGCUAACUACGUG
rnacentral:rRNA from 1 species